AGGGGUGUAGCUCAAUUGGUAGAGUAGCGGUCUCCAAAACCGUUGGUUGGGGGUUCGAUUCCCUCCGCCCCUGCCA
rnacentral:tRNA from 9 species